rnacentral:sRNA from 1 species
GAGAGAAACGGAGCCGGUCCCCGCGCGCGGUGCGCUUCCCUGAGCUGUGGAAAGUGCACCCGGGACUCGGCUC